rnacentral:rRNA from 1 species
UGGGGAAUCUUGGACAAUGGGCGCAAGCCUGAUCCAGCCAUGCCGCGUGGAUGAUGAAGGCCCUAGGGUUGUAAAAUCCUUUCGUUGGGGACGAUAAUGACGGUACCCAAAGAAGAAGCUCCGGCUAACUUCGUGCCAGCAGCCGCGGUAAUACGAAGGGGGCUAGCGUUGUUCGGAUUUACUGGGCGUAAAGCGCGUGUAGGCGGGUCGUUAAGUUGGGGGUGAAAUCCCGAGGCUCAACCUCGGAACUGCCUUCAAAACUGGCGACCUGGACUCAAGUAGAGGCAAGUGGAAUUGCGAGUGUAGAGGUGAAAUUCGUAGAUAUUCGCAGGAACACCAGUGGCGAAGGCGACUUGCUGGGCUUGUAGUGACGCUGAGACGCGAAAGCGUGGGGAGCAAACAGGAUUAGAUACCCAUGUAGUCCCUGAGCGGGCUGGCAAGGCGCAU